rnacentral:rRNA from 1 species
AUUGAACGCUGGCGGCGUGCCUAAUACAUGCAAGUAGGACGCAGUUGCGAACGGGAGAGUAACGCGUAGGUAACUACCGAUGAGAGGGGGCUAAAUAUUGGAGACGAUAGCUAAUACCGCCUACAAGUAGGUGGACAUGCGAUGUAUUAGCUAGUAGGUAAGGUAAUGGCCUACCUAGGCAACGAUACAUAACCGACGUGAAAGGGUUAACGGCCCCGCCUGGACCGGGACACGGCUCAGACUCCUACGGGGUGCAGCAGUAUGGAAUCUUCGGCAAUGGGGGGAAACCUUACCGAGCACCGCCGGGUGAGUGAAGAAGGUUUUCGGAUCGUAAAGCUCUGUUGUUAAGGAAGCGUUACUUAACCAGAAAGGGCCGGCUAACUUCGUGCCAGCCGCCGCGGUAAUUC